GUGUUCACAGUGGUUCCACUGGGGGGCAGUAUAGCCCCAGUAGUAAGCUGCUGGAGCACCGACAAGAACUCCUCCUGGAUGUCCUCAAGUGUGGUGUUGCCCUCUGAGGGAAGAAGUGGAGGGGAAAGUCACCUACACCAAAGCAAAUGAAAAGGGAUUUCCCGCUUUGCCAGCCACCACCUGUCUCUGAGAGUCAUCACCAGAGCUAUCUGAGAACUGCCACCUUACCUCUCCAAGAAUCCCUACCUUACUCUGGUUGAGUGGUUUGUGAUGCUUGGGGCUGUGCUGCUGGAGGCAUCAGCUUCUGUUAGUGUCUCCCAGGGCAAAUUUGUUCCCAGGUGUGGAGGCCGGACUCCGAGCUGUUCAGAGACCUCUGUGGGAUGAUGCAUGUUGGAAAGAGGAACUUCACCCCGAUACUGAGGGAUGAGUCAGGCCAUGGAAAGAAGAUCUCAGGACAGCAUCAGGGCCUUUUAAGAAAUGGCAUUGGAUCAGGCAGUUGCCAUAAAGGCUCACCACCACACAGUUACACGUAAGGGUCUGGUGCAUUGCAAGAUGGGCGGCGGCCUUGGGAUCCUGUCUCUUGGUUACGAAAACUUGUGGAUGUCGAUUGACACCUCUGUUCCGGGACGAUCCAGAUCUUGUGUGGUGGGUGAAAGGACACCGAACUCGAUAUUGUUGGGCCCACCUCUACACACAGCAGUGAAAAACCUCGGGAGGGGGUACGGAGGCAGGAGAGAUGGACGCCAAUGUUGCCACCACUACCCUGACUGGAAUAAGAAGCAGAAAAUGGAUUGAUUGAUCGAUGGAUUGACAGACGUCUGUGCAGGAACAUGACCAGGCCACACACCUGAUACCUUAAGCCUUUCAGCAGGUUCCUCUCACCCAGUCUUCCACUACUACAUCACCAUCAUCCUGCAUGAUGUCCAAAACCGCCGUGAGUUUCAGCAGCAAGUGGUGCACUUUGAGUUGUCCCGACAACCUGCGCGCCCGGCUCAUGGCUGCCCUCCAAGUGCAGACAAAGCUGUCGUCGAAUGAACCAGGCGUGUGUCCACUGGACCUGAGGGGUGCCGCCACCGCUAACAAAACACACAAAGACCCUCGCCCCCCAGCACUGGCCCUCACCCCAUCUACCCACUAUCCUGCCCCUCCCACACACCGCUGCCUGCUGCUUUGUGCCUGCUCCAAGAAGAGGAAGUUCCUCUCAUC